rnacentral:lncRNA from 1 species
UUUUUUCUUCCUUUUUGCUAGCGUCAGAUAAAGUUCCAUGGUAUUAGAGCAGGUACAAUAGUAGGCUAUUAGCCAGCUAUAAACAUAUUUUAAUAAGAUAAAAAAUAAGAGAUAAGAGAAGCGGACUACAGAUUUAUAGUCAGCUGCAGCACGGACUCUAAGAUGCAGUGUGUGUAUGAUAGGUGUGACCAUAUAUUAAUAGUAUAGUAAGCAGCUGUUAUAUUGUGUGAAUUGACUAUUAGAUUUAGCUAUAUAUAAAUUAAAGCUAGUAGUGAGCUAUCCUAUUAAACUUACUCUUAACACCCGUACUUGAAUUUGAUAGUUUUAAUCUGAGGCGUACGUAGCUAUUUGGUGGCUUGAAAAUCUGAGUGAUUUAGCAGCCAGCCAGUCACCCGUGCUUUGGAUCAGCGAACGGCAGCCACUCUUUCCACAUCCCCGGAUCAACCAAGCGCUGCCUUCCAAUGCCACCUGCGAUUUGGUUAUUUAUAGACGUAAUGGAUUACCACACAGGUCCUCAAGCCACUGCUGCAGCGUGACUCUGCUCUAGCACCUCACCAAGCAGAAAGCUAGAGAGCUAGCAAUGGCGCCCACCGUGAUGGCCUCGUCGGCCACCUCCGUUGCUCCCUUCCAGGGGCUCAAAUCCACCGCCGGGCUCCCCGUCAGCCGCCGCUCCAACAGCGCCGGCCUCGGCAGCGUCAGCAACGGUGGAAGGAUCAGCUGUAUGCAGGUAUGAACAAGCCAACAUAGGAUCAGUACAAGCUUAAUUGGUAUCUUCAUCCUCAUCACACACACAGGAAAUUAAAGAGAGCUCAUCAACUUUAACCCAUAUGAUUUCUCUGCGCAGGUGUGGCCGAUUGAAGGCAUCAAGAAGUUUGAGACCCUGUCGUACCUGCCACCGCUCACGGUCGAGGACCUCUUGAAGCAGAUCGAGUACCUGCUCCGGUCCAAAUGGGUGCCUUGCCUCGAGUUUAGUAAGGUCGGGUUCGUCUACCGUGAGAACCACAGGUCUCCUGGGUACUAUGAUGGCAGGUACUGGACCAUGUGGAAGCUGCCUAUGUUCGGAUGCACUGAUGCCACCCAGGUGCUCAAGGAGCUCGAGGAGGCCAAGAAGGCAUAUCCAGAUGCAUUUGUUCGCAUCAUCGGCUUCGACAACGUCAGGCAGGUGCAGUUGAUUAGCUUCAUCGCCUACAAGCCCCCGGGUUGCGAGGAGUCCGGCGGAAACUAAGCUAGUUGGCAAGCCAGCAAGCUCACUCGUGAGCUCUAUACAGAGGAGACUCGAUUGAUCUAUUCGGUUUUGGCAGCUUUGAACGUUCGAAUCGGGCCACCUUGCAUUGGUUUCCCCUUUCCCAGUUUGUUGCUUCAGUUUUUUUUUUUCAUCUUGUUUGUGUCAACAUCAGCUGUGUAUGUAUGUACAUAUGUAUGUAUCAACAUAGGUUGAAGAGCAUGCAUAUGUGAAUGCUAGCACCAGGCUAAUCAUAUGCACAUACACAUCGUAAUAAAUAUAUUGUACAAAUCGUCAAAAACGAUACUUAUAUGUAAUACUAUACUCAGACCAAACUUGAUACCUCUGGUUUCCAUUUCAAUUAUGUGUGGUAGGACAUGCAUAGCAUUGUUGGGAAUUACUUAAUUCGUUUCCAUGCAAACAGUUCAAAGAUACACGCGCGCAAAUACGGGCGCCCUCGUUCACAUAUGUAAAUUAUUAUGUAUACAUAUAACUCUAAUCAGAUAAAAUUCAAAAUGAACUGCGAGUCCAAGCUCGAUCAUCCUGAAAUUGCCUCCUCUUCUACGAUUCUAUACGUAGCACUCAUUUCUGAAUUGAAACUUUUGUGAGCUUUGGCUUUUGAUCCUCGGGUGUUCAUCUAUUGAUGCAUACAUUCAUUUGAACUAUAUUUAAGCCAAACUUAUCUAACGCAGUUGAAUUGUCGCCUUCUGUCAUUUCAAGGAAAUUUGUUGCUUUCUGAACCUUUGUGCUAAAGUUGGAAUUUUAGUCCAUUGUUUUGGCGUCCAAGAUUUUUUUUCCCACAUCAUGACAAUUUUUAAUUUAAGAAACACGUUAAAUAAUAAUUUUAUAAUAUAUCCUCAUAGAUCUAUUUGCAAACAUAUAGACCCCACAAACAAAUUAUUUCUGUACCAUUUGCAAUUCCAAAUUUGCCAACAUUAGCUAAUAGUAGUGUGUUGUUCUGAUUUAGUUCAAAAAUACCUGCUAACGAUAAUAAAAUUUAAAAGGGUAUUCCGUCGCAAACCUGAACUGUACCAAUUUUGAAUAAUGUACUCCCUCCGUUUCAGAAUGUAAGUCAUUCUAGUAUUUCUCAUAUUCAUAUUGAUGUUAAUAAAUCUAGAUAGAUAUAUAUGUCUAAGAUUUAUUAACAUCAAUAUGAAUGCGGAAAAUACUAGAAUGACUUACAUUGUGAAAUGGAGGAAGUACAUAAUAAAUGAUUAAUUAAUACUGAACAGAGAAACAAAAGUUGUCAUCAUCUUAAUAGUCCUUUCUCAGUGUCCAACUGUUCAGGAGAUAGGGUUAUGAUAAUACUAGACCACAUAUGUCCAGUUUCAAAGGAUAGGUUCAUAAACUAGACCACAAGUGUCCCAACUACAGGAUUAGAUAGGAAUCAACUUGUGAUGCCUAGAAGACGUACGUAAAUGACAAGGACGUAGGAAAACACACGGUUCAUUCCAUGUUUCUGGGUAGUGGACAUAUCAUAGAUACCAGCAUAGGAAGUCACGCAUUUGCACAACUAUAACCAUCCUAAUUAUACAUUAUAUAUAUGAAAAUAUACUAAUGAUAUUAGAUGAACGAAAAAUCUGUUUUCAUUACUGUCGAGAAGUAAUCCUCUCUAGCGGGUGGUCGUGAGACCCCUCUUUGUGAGUUCGGCCGGGGGAGAUGGCGCGAUGAUCAAGAGACUUCCACUUGAGAUCUAACUACUGGAUCGUUCACGAGUAUGCAUGGAAGACCAAGGAUUAUACAGGUUCGGGCUGCUGGGAAGCGUAACACCCUACCCUGAGAGCCCGAGGGGUGUGACGUGGCACCCCGAGCCCCCUCAGCCACCUCAGCGCUAUCCGAGGGGCGGGGGAAGGCGAGGCGCAUGGCUACGUGACUAAACGGGAAGGAUACUUCCCUUUACUGUGUGUACCCCCGGGCCUAUAUCACCGACAAUUAUAGUCACACUUUUGUGCAACCACAACCGCCAUCUAUAUUUAUAUUAUUUAGCUUGAUUUAUAUGUUGUAUAUGAUAACAAAUCACCCACCAUAAUAUAUUGGGAACUUUAAAUUCAUAUGAUAAUUUAAGUUUACAUAACUUUAUCAUUAUUUUUCACUGUCUUCACCGCUGCACCAGUCGCCGCCUUUUCACCACCUCCACUGUUACAUGACCCUUAUUCUCCCCUUAGUUUUCCAUUGGUGUCUGUUUUAUAGCUUAAGCACAUAGAUACAUUUCAUCCUGUAUAUUUCAACUAAUACAAUACAUUAAAUCAUAAGUUUGAAAGUCAUCCUCAAAACAGAGCAAUUUGAAUGGUAUUUCCAAACAUUGGUUCUGCUCUUUAAAUACCAAGCAAAUCAAACUGACUACUACCAGGCUAGAAUAAGCCAAUCAAAUUGGUGUCACAGGCUGUUUGCUAUGCUGAUCUUUUCAGCUUGUAUCCAAGCGUCAAACAGUUCUGAAUGACCCAAAAUCUGUUAUGCCAGUAGAAUAUUACUCAGUCUUCCAAGUUAAGAGUCAAACAAAACAGGGAAAUGAGAACAAAAUUUCAACUAUUGUACUUCUGUCCACCAUGUAUCCAAAAUUUCAACUAUCGUACAUUCCUUUUCUCGAACAACAAAUAUGUGCCGAUUGUAGCAAGUAUUGUUCAGCAUGACACUGAUGUUGUCUGAAGAUCUUGAUUCAUCUGAGAUAAAGAUCGAAGAAGUUCAGACUUAAAAACACCAGUACGUAAUAUACAAUAUAUCUCAGAUGAAUCGUACGCAAUGGCUAUUAAGACUUUGUCCAUGAUUCAGUCUUCAACCAAGACCAUUCCAUGUAUAUAUUUUCCAAUACCAGUUUCAGUUAUUAAAAUCCAUAGUUGUGGAAGAAACAUUUAAAUAUGCACAUUCCAACUACUCCCUCCGUUCCCUAAUAUAAGAGAUUUUGACAUUUUACUUGCACUGUUUGACCACUCGUCUUAUUUAAAAAAUGUGUGCAAAUAUCAAAAACGAAAAGUUGAGCUUAAAGUACUUUGGAUAAUAAAGUAAGUCACAAAUAAAAUAAAUAAUAAUUCCAAAAUUUUUUGAAUAGGACGAGCGGUCAAAUAGUGUAAGCAAAAUAUCAAAAUCCCUUAUAUUAGGGGACAGAGGGAGUAUUUAGAAGAGGAGGUGUAUUCGCACUCAUAAAUUAUUGAUGUUAAUGGGCUAACGACAGAUCAUUUUAAUCAAGAUUUCAAAUUCAGAAACGGGCAGUACUACCAUAAGUUUGAGGAAAUUGUUCAUUAGAAGGAUUGAUCACCUUACGGCAUUGCAUGCUACCUUACAGCAUUGCAUGCUAUUCGCUGCAGUCAUGUAGCAAUUCACCAACACCGCCAUCAUCUUCACAGUUGCAUGGGAGAGGUGGGGGGCAUGUCUUGGGCAGCCAGAAAACAUCUGUGAGAAGCAGUAAUCCUUGGGCCUCUACUAUAGCUAUCAAGAAAGUGCAGAAGCAAUGAACAUGCUAUGCAUGGCCUGCCAUACGUUCCUGAUAUCAGUUUUAAAUUCCUUGGUAGAUUGUACUUGAUACAUACUCUUAGUUUCCUUGGGCUAAUGAGGCAAUCUGAUGACUCAUUGUAGACAGUAAGCUAAUGUGAUUACAAAUAUACUGGUCAAGUGGUCAUUAUGAAAAAAGUUCAUACUAAAAAAUCAAAUCAUGGUCAACGUUUAUAUUAGUCAACCUGCAUGUAGUAUCUUCUACUUCGUCCCUUUCAGUUACAAGACAUUUUGACUUUAGUCAAAGUCAAACUGUUUCAAGUUUAACUAAAUUUAUAGAUAAAUAUAGUAAUAUUUAUAAUACUAAAUUAGUUUAAUCAAAUCAAUUAUUGAAUAUGUAUUUUCAUAAUUAAUUUGUUUUGGGUUAAAUAUGUUACUACUUUUUUCUAUAAACUUAAUCAAAAUUAAAGCAGUUUGAUUUUGACCAAAGUCAAAACGUCUUAUAACCUGAAACAGAGGGAGUACUAAAUACCUCGAUUUAACAGUUCUACCUUUUUUGUAAGAAUAAUAUGACUAAUUAUUAUACUUGUUGUCACAUUUGCCAUUUGAACUUUUGUUAAACAUAUCAAAUGCCUAGGAAUGCAUCUCAGUAUAUCAAAUUAGGUACAUAUACAUGUAUUGAUAUGAUUUUUACUCAAUGACAACUGUCCAGACAUUAUGUUUCUUAAUAAGUAAAUAAGAAUCUGGUACCAAUUUCAUUAAUUUACUUGGCAAAUUAUGUAGUAGCUUACAGUAACUGUUUGUCACAACAUCUUCAUCAGCACUGUAAAUUUUUCUAUGUAAAAUCCAUCUAAUGGAGCAACUUUUUUGAUUGAUUAUCGCAAAAUGUUAAGAGCCAUCAUCAGAACAUAUGCAGUAUAAUAUCCCUAUUUAAAUAGAUUCUUGUGUCAAUUUUGACAGUUUACCUUUGAAUCAAGCUGUAGCGUUGAUGUGCUGUAUAAUCGCACAUCACUGAAAACGUGGUAGACAUUAACAGCCGCUGGUUGUGGAGAGGAGCAAGAGGAAGGGGUCGUCGUUGCCGUGGCUGUCGGUUGAAAUGCUGUGCAGUGACCAGAUUUAGUUCUCCCAGACCUCUGAAUGGCGGGAUCCAGAGGUGCACGCCGACGGGGAUGACGUCGGGGGGUGCACGAGAAGGAUAGCUUGUUCCACCCCUAACCAUCCAUUUGGGGGGAGGGGGGGGGAUAGGAAAAAAGUGGGGGAAGUAGAGACGCAGCGACACCGGAGAAAGAGGAGGCGACACUAGCUAGGGAGGAGGACGCGAUGACAGGGGAUGUGGAGGAAGCGGCGGUGUGGGUGUGGAGGAGGUGGUGAAGGCACGGUGAGCGCGCGCGGAGCAAGAGCGGCGUCUCAGCCUCCUGGCUUCUCCAUUUAAUUCGGAGAAAAAGAGGUAUUUUUGUUCAUGGAACAUUGAUAGAGAAAAAAGCCGACUAUUGGAUUUGAACCGAUGACCCUCGCAUUACAAAUGCGAUGCUCUAACCUCUGAGCUAAGUGGGCUUACAUAACAGAAAUAGUGUAACAAAUAGAAAUAUGUAUAGUAUAGGAAAUCCGUAAAAUGUCAUAUCUUAAUUAUUAAUCUUAGCUAUUAACUAGUUCGAAAUUGGAAGUUCUACUUAGAAAACAAUACUAGAACUUCAUAAAAUAAAGUUAGAUAGAUUUUUUUGAACUUUCUUUUUUCUCUAAUUCGCAAAUCUAUUUUUCUAAUAGAAUCUAUUCCAAUUUCUAUAUUGAAUUUGAUUUUAGAUAUUUUUAAUUUGAUAUGGCUCGGACGAAUAAUCUAAUACAUGGAAAAGAAUAAAUAAUAUAUAUACGAAAACAUAAUAAAGAGAACAUGCGAAUUUCUUGUAUUUUCAGUCCAUCAUUAUAGACAUUUUUUGAGAUAUUUUGUUUUUUUUGUUAUUUGCUAAUAAUUUAAUGAUUAAUAUUUCACUAAGGAGAACAUAGAAUCAUAGCAAAUGAAAUUGCUAAUUCUGAUUAGCAAAAAAAAAGAAUGAAUAUCAAGCGUUAUAGUAUGAUUUUGAAUACUCUAAAAAAGGAACGCGGUAGGUGGGGGAGAGAAAAACCUUGGGAUAUAUUGAUUCGCAUUGAAUUGCAAAUACAUCAACGAUAGAAUCAAUUCAAUGCUGAAUUGCAAUAAGCGGAGUCUCACAACUAGAGACGAACCGCUAGACUACAUAGAGUAAUGAAUCCAACGAUUCAAAAAAAACUAACAGAUGGAGGAAAUUGCACAAGAAAUCCUGGUCUCAAAGAAAAAGAAAAUGGGGAUAUGGCGAAAUCGGUAGACGCUACGGACUUGAUUGUAUUGAGCCUUGGUAUGGAAACCUGCUAAGUGGCAAUUUCCAAAUUCAGAGAAACCCUGGAAUUAAAAAAGGGGCAAUCCUGAGCCAAUCCAUGUUUUGAGAAAACAAGUGGUUCUCGAACUAGAACCCAAAGGAAAAGGAUAGGUGCAGAGACUCAAUGGAAGCUGUUCUAACGAAUCGAGUUAAUUACGUUGUGUUGCUAGCGGAACUCCCUUCUAAAUUAGGGAAAGAAGGGCUUUCGAAAUCUAAUACACACGUAUAGAUACUGGCAUAGCAAAUGAUUAAUCACAGAACUCAUAUCAUAAUAUAGGUUCUUUAAUUCUUUUUUAAAAUGAAAAUAGGAAUGAUUAUGAAAUAGAAAAUUCAUAAUUUUUUUAGAAUUGUUGUGAAUCCAUUCCAAUCGAAUAUUGAGUAAUCAAAUCCUUCAAUUCAUAGUUUUCGAAAUCUUUUUAAAAGUGGAUUAAUCGGACGAGGAUAAAGAGAGAGUCCCAUUCUACAUGUCAAUACUGACAACAAUGAAAUUUCUAGUAAAAGGAAAAUCCGUCGACUUUCUAAGUCGUGAGGGUUCAAGUCCCUCUAUCCCCAAACCCUCUUUUAUUCCCUAACUCUAGUAUUUAUCCUGUUUUUUUUAUUAAUAGGUUUAAGAUUCAAUGGAAUACAUUUCUUUUUUAUUAUAGUAUCGGCAAGGAAUGUCGAUUAUUAACUCGAUAUUUAAAUAUUAUUAAAUAGGCUUUCUUUGUACAAUGCAUAGGACUGACCCCUCCCCAUUUCCAAAUUUUGGAUAUUGACAUAGAUACAAAUACUCUACUAGGAUGAUGCACAAGAAAAGGUCAGGAUAGCUCAGUUGGUAGAGCAGAGGACUGAAAAUCCUCGUGUCACCAGUUCAAAUCUGGUUCCUGGCACAGAAAAAAGGGAUCUUCCGAAUAGGUAUUGAUACAAAUACCUCGAGAUGGGUUGGGAUACAUAUUCGUUAAUAAUAUAGAUAGAGUAUGAUUUUUUCAUCUAAGUAGAUAAAUCUCUAAAUAGAGGCACUUCUUUUUCUGCAUUUUUGCAUUUCUUAAUUUUCUAUUCCGCUAUUCCGACAAAUAUUUUUUUAUUCUUGCUUAUCUUAUCUUACUUUCCUAGUUGUUCUAAGUGAUGCACGUGGUACAAAGUUCGUGGUAGGGAACUUCUUUGAGUCAUCAUAUUUUUCUGUUCAUACGAAGGAAAUGAAUAUGUGAUUUUCCAACGAAAUGAAGCCCUUUUUUGCUUAGUCUAUCUGAACCUUUUGUAUAAUUGGAAUUAAUUAGAAUGUAAUAGGUAUUCUGUUUCAUCUAGGAACAGAGCGUAAAAAUAUUCCUUGACUUGCAUAAAAUCUGGAGUUGUGUUGUAUAAGUGAGCAUGAAUUUCUUAUCAUUCAAUGAGCAUCUUGUAUUUCAUAGAAAUUGGGGGUUAUAUAGUCCUUACGUAAGGGCCAGCCUAUCCAACUUUCAGGCAUUAGGAUACGUUUAAGGCGUGGAUGAUUAUCAUAAGAGAUUCCCACCAUAUCAAAAGAUUCGCGUUCUUGAAAAUCGGAACUUCUCCAAAUCCAGAAGACAGAUGGGAUUCUAGGAUUAUCCUUUUGGGCAAAGACUUUUAUGCAUACUUCUUCUGGGUUAUCUAUACCAUACUGUAUUCUCGUAAGAUGAUACACGCUAGCUAAAGAUCCACCGGGUGCAACGUCAUAAGCACAUUGGGAACGUAAAUAAUUGUAACCAUAUACAUAUAAAAUGACAGCAAUGGAAUCCCAAUCCUCUGCUUUUAUUUGCAAAGUCUCUAUUCCUCGAUGAUCGAAGCCCAAAGAUCUAUGAACCACCUCAUGUUUGACUAGCCAAUUAGAUAACCAACCCUGCUGCAUUAUCUUGAUCUCUCCUCCUUUGUAUAAAUAUUUCGCAGUUCGAAUGCAAGUUUGAAAUAUUGCCCUGCUCUUUCUUUUUCGGCACAAAGAGCUCCUCCUAAUUCACUAAUUUGUAGGAAGAUACUGGACUUUUGGAUUUGAAAAAAGUUUCAGAAGAUAUGUCUAAAGUAGAUGGUGAUUGAUAGAGCAAUUCUUGCUCAUAAGUUCCAGUAUUAGUACUGCGCCGAACAUAAAGCUUGUGGCUGGUAGUAAAACAUCGAUUUUUCUUUUGAGAUAGAGUUCGAUCCUCAACUAUUUCUCGCGAUAUCUUCUUACGAAGUUUUGUUAGGGCAUCUAUAACAGCCUCUGGUUUAGGUGGGCAACUCGGCAAGUAGACGUCCACAGGAAUUAACUUAUCAACUCCCCGAACAGUACUAUAGGAAUCCGUACUGAACAUUCCACCAGUAAUAGUACAAGCUCCCAUAGCAAUGACGUAUUUUGGUUCAGGCAUUUGCUCAUAUAAUCUCACUAAAGAGGGAGCCAUUUUCAUUGUUACUGUACCGGCUGUUAAAAUUAGGUCCGCUUGCCUAGGACUUGAUCUUGGUACCAAUCCAUAACGAUCAAAGUCGAAUCGUGAGCCUAUUAAUGAAGCAAAUUCAAUGAAACAACAACUGGUACCAUAUAGAAGGGGCCAUAAACUAGAGAGUCUUGACCAAUUUGAAAGAUCUUUUAGUGUAGUUGAAAUAACGGAAUUGGAACUUGUUUGGUCAAGUAGGGGAAACUCAAUCAAACUCAUAACUGUCUUAAUGGAAUCUUUUCCUUCUUUUUUUUGUCUGAAUAUUCAGUUAAGACCAUUCCAAGGCUCCUUUUCGCCAUGCAUAAACUAAACCAACAACUAGGAUAAGCACGAAAAUGAAAGCUUCGAUAAAAACGGAUAUACCCAAUACGUCGAAACUCAUUGCCCAAGGGUAGAGAAAGACCGUUUCCACAUCAAAAACAACAAAAACUAGCGCAAACAUGUAAUAGCGUAUUCGGAAUUGUAACCAAGCCCCCCCCAUGGGUUCUAUACCCGAUUCAUAACUAGAAAGCUUCUCUGGUCCUUCACGAACCGGAGCUAAAAGUGCUGAAAUCCAAAAUGCUAAAAUAGGAAUAAGGCUUGCUAUUAUUAGAAAUGCCCAAAAAAUAUCAUAUUCGUGAAGCAGAAACAUAAAUGUACUCCCAUUAAUGUGGAAUAGGCGGAACUGAAUUAGUCAAUUCAAGUCAGCAUUGUCAAUUUAUACAGAAUUUCUCUCUUUUCCUCGGUGAAACAAGGAUCGGUUUUUCUCAAACCAAAGGGCUUAGUUUAGCCUUUGUUUCCUCUUUGCCACGUCUUCUUUAAAGAUUCAUCCAAUGGAAUCCCGACUCCCUUUCUUUUUUAUUUCCUUUCUAUUUAGGUAUGGUGGAGACAUAAUUCUUAUAGAAACAAAACUCUCUCGCUUCACGUUGUCUCAUUUUCUCUAGAAUCUCUAGAAAAAGGAAUAAAAACGAAAAUACUACGAAUUAGAGCCUAAUUAAGAUAGGAUGACUAAUGUAUGCAGCCUAAUGAGGAGUAAUUCUAUAAAAAUAAAGAACUCUAUUUCAGAACGUAGAUUGAUUUAGAUUUAGGUAAUCUAUAGAUAUAGAUAAGCAAAGUAAUAUACUUCAAACAAAGUAGGAAUUUGCAAGAUGGAGAACAUCUUGCAGUUGAUUUGAUAGAAAUUCAUUUUUCUUUUCCUGUCUCUAUAAUUUUCGAUGAAUGAGCCUCUGGUAAUCCUUUUCUCUCUAUUUUAUGGCGCAGGCGCCUGUCCAGUCUAUAAACAAGUACUAAUAGGGAAAUGAAAACUAUACUAAAGGAAACGUAGGAUAUCUCUCCUAAAAUCUAAAAAAGGACAUAUUAGGGCUAUACGGAUUCGAACCGUAGACCUUCUCGGUAAAACAGAUCAAACGGAUUAUUAUCGAAAUGAUUCGAACUGUUUCAAAGACCCAACAUGCAUUUUUUUGCAUUGGGCUCUUUUAUCAACUGAUAGAAAGAUCAGUUAGUCCACCAUAGUUUUUCUUUACGGAAAGAUAAUGAGAUGGCUCCCUGCGCUCUGAUUGAUUAUUUGUAUUAUGAUCUAUCUAAGAGCAAUACCAAAGUGUUUCAAAGGAGGAUUACCUUGACUUAGGUCUGCCUCCGGCCUAAAUUAAAUCAACCUAAGUGAAAUAGAGUCUCUAUCGUUCCGCUACAAGAGUUGACUAUGAGACUUCAUACACCUUAAAGUUCAUAGAACGAAAAGAAUUUUUUUGGAGGCCCUUAUCCUCAUUAAGCCUAGCAUUUAGUGGGCUGGAUAUUUACCUUAUCAACUAGCAAAUCAAUAAAGGUUCUAUUUGUUUAGGCACCUGGAUUGGUACCUGAAUCGGACUGAACCAACUAUUUGUCAGGCGACUGUUCUCCUAUUCUCUCGAAUCCAUGAAGUAAGACAUUGAUUUUGCAAGAAGAUCCACUAUGUUCAUUGCAUAAUAAGCUCCCAUGAAAAGCAUUGGCGCACGUGUAAACGAGUUGCUCUACCGAACUGAGCUAUAGCCCUUGUCAGAGAUAUCUUAAUAUAUAGAGAAUUUCUUGUCAAGAUGAAUAUUCUCUAAUAGUAGAGGAUAUCCUUUGAUCUGUUUACUAUAAUAACAUACCAAUAACUAAGCGGUAUUUGCUUAUAAAAAGGAUUCGAUCUAUAAUCAAUCGAAGUAAAGGGUCUUCCUUUGUGGUGAUAAAUUGCCUACUUAACUCAGUGGUUAGAGUAUUGCUUUCAUAUGGCGGGAGUCAUUGGUUCAAAUCCAAUAGUAGGUAGGUAGAUAGAAAAAUUACUAGAUAGCAUUGGCCCUACUUCGCUUCGCUAUCUAAUAAUUUUUUCUACCCCUCUUCCCUUUUUCUUUGUAUCAACUAAACCGUUGGGUUGUCUUCAAUUAGAUGGGGGAAUCCAAUUAACAGCCUCGACUCGUAUCCUAGCUCGUCUGAGAGCUACCUUCGCUUCAACCAAUUCUUUCGUACCCUCAGCUCUACUCACGUUAGCUUCGGCUAUUUCAAGUGCCUGUUGAGCUUCUUCCGGAUCAAUGUCACUACCCAGUUCCGCAUCAUUUCCUAAAAUGAUGAUCUCAUUAUUAACUAUUCUGGCAAAACUGCUCCACAGAACCGCCGUUAACCAUUUAUCGUUGAGGAGGCGUAUUCUCAAGGGACCCAUAUCUACAGCUGUGUUAAUGGGGGCGUGGUUUGGUAAUACGCCAAUUUGGCCACUAUUAGUAGAUAAAAUGAUUUCUUUCACUUCACAAUUCCAAAUAAUUCGCUUAGGAGUCAGUACAUAAAGAUUUAAUUUCAUUUCUUCAAUUUGUUCUCCUCUUCUAAGUUUAUAGCUUUCGUGCUAGCUUCAUCGAUGUUACCCACCAAAUAAAAAGCCUGUUCGGGUAGGCCGUCUAAUUCUCCGGAAAGGAUUAGUUGAAAUCCCCUAAUAGUUUCUGCAAGACCAACAUACUUUCCCGGAGAACCGGUAAAAACUUCUGCCACAAAAAACGGUUGUGAUAAGAAGCGCUCAAUUUUUCGUGCUCUUGCUACAGUUAAACGAUCCUCCUCCGAUAAUUCAUCCAACCCAAGAAUUGCGAUAAUGUCCUGAAGUUCUUUGUCAAUGGCUCUAAGUAAGAAAAGCUUUAUCAGAUUCUAUUUUCCGAAGUUGCACCUACAACUAUUCAUUGAAAAGAAUCCUACUCUUAUGGGUAAAUGCUCAAUAUCCAAGUGGGCUUACAAAUUUGAUCAUGAUCAAUUGCUUUGUGGAUUGUCUCGCGUCUCUUGAUUAGUUGGUAUUUAUCCCCCCCAAUAUUGCAAGUUUCUUACGUCCAAACAAAGUAUUUACUUGUUACUAAUAAAAAAUCAAAAAGUUUAGACUACGUUCUUCCUUAGAUCCCUUCUUUUACUCCGAUAGUAUUGCAUAUCGCAAUCGAUGCAAAGAAAAUGAAUGCAUUUCCAUACUAUAAUAAAAAGUAAGUGUAAUAAAUAGAGAAUUGGAUCAUGUCACAUGACUUAUUCCACUCCUGCCAUCUCGGAGUCCAGGGAAGCGCACAGAUAGAGCAAGGAAGAGAAGGGGGGAAAAAUGAAAAGAAAAAUAUGGGAUGUGGAAGGAUCCCAUUGUGAAAAGAUGUUUUCGGAAGGAUCGCGGGGAGGUUUCACCGUUUGAGAGAUCCAACAGCUCGCAUUGUCUGGUGUAGAAAUCAGACGGCCCAUAAUUUCUUGAAGACGUGGGUUUAUUGAGUUUUACUUUUCACUUAGUUAGAUAGGCAUUCAUUAGCUAGCCACUCUUAGCACCUAAGAGCAGUCCUACUAUUAGCCAGCUAUAGAUAUAUUUUAACGAGCUAAAAGAUGAGAGAGAAGAAUAGUGGGUUACAGAUCUGUAGCCAGCUGCAGCACGGACUCCAAGACGCAGUGUGUGUAUGACAGGUGGGACCAUAUAUCAAUAGUAUAGUAAGCAACUAUUGUAUGAAUUGGCUAUUAGAUUGGCUAUAGAUGAAUUAGAGCUAGUAGUUGGUUAUACUAUUAAAUUUGCUCUAAGAGGCAUCAUGUCUGAGGUUUUGUUUGAAAUUCAGGAUAUGGAAAACGUAGGAACAUUAAAAACAUAACAUAGGAAAUAAUAGGAAUAUGAUAGGAUUGUAGGUUUAAAACGGAGUGAUUAUAAAGCAUAGGAAAACUGAGCAAACUAUUGUUCGGAAGCGCAAAGAAAAACUCAGAAAUCUUAUUCACUAAUAGAAGUAACUCGAUAACAUAUUAUCAAAUUGUACUUAGAUGGUACAAGCAACUGAUGUGUGGGCCAAGGAACAGUAAACCAUCGUUACAAAGGCCAAUUGAGUUGAUUUAUUUCUCCCUUUGCAUCGGUCCUAUAUAUGGAAAGCCAGCAAAAAAAAAAAAGAGGGACUCUCGACAUGACAAACGGCUCAAAAUUUUUUGGGUUUCAGCCGUUUUUUCUCACCGUGCGAUAAAUACACGCGUCACCCAUCCCCUCCCGCACAAAAAUCCCACCCGAGUAGCUGGUAGUGCGCUUUGCACAAACGGCACAACAAAAUCCCGCUUGUGUUUGUUUUGUCCGUGUGGGUUUAGUCCACAAAAGAAAAAGGCCCAUGACGUUUUAUCUUUGUAGAAAGCCCACAUCCCGCAAGGAGAAAAAAACCAAGGACUAUUUUUAUCCGUGUAAACAAGCCCAGAAAAAGAAGCACACAUCGUGCAACUCUUAUUUUUUAGGAACCCACAUCCUGGACUUCUUUUUUAGAGACACACAACCUGCACUUUUCUGUGCUGCUCCAGUACGUCUUGCUGCAUGAACCAUGCUGGUUUGGUUUUGUUAGUGAUAUGCUCUAGAGGCAAUCAUAAAGAUAAUUAUAUCACAUAAUAUGUUUAUAUAUUUAUCCGACAUUGUUCUUUAAAAUAGAUAACACAUUAUUGGUUAAUGAAUAUGUGAUUCUUUCAUGAGACUUUUUAUGUUGUAUGUUACUAUUUCUGAAGGAUCCCUGAUCAAAUAUCAUAUGUGGAACAAAUAUGUUUAAAUGAUCAGCACAUGUAUUAAUUGAUGAUUAUGUUUCAUGGAUCAUGGUAUAGAGAUACCAAAUUAAUAAUGUGGACACAUGUUGGGGAACAUGUUGUUGGAUAGACCCAACAUGAUACAUUGCAAGAGCCAUAUGUGUUGUGUUAUCAGUGAUCUCAUUUAGUGUUGGUGUUGAAUCCUUAGACCUGAGAUUAUCAUGGUUCCCAACAUAUGUAGUAUCUUACUUAGGGACUGCUAAACGCUACUCCGUAAUUGGGUAGUUAUAAAAAUAGUUUUCGGGUAUGCUAUGAAACAUAUAGUUAGAUAUGUAUAAUCAAGAUGGGAUUUGCUCCUUCUAUGGAGAGAUAUCUCUGGGCCCCUCGAUGUUAUAGAUUAUGAAAGUGCAUGGCCAUACCAAAGGUCAUUGAGGAGUCAAUCACAAGUUAUAUAUAUAAUAUAUCACAUGUUCGAGUGAAUGAUUGAGCUAUUAGAGGAUGUCAUAUAUCUAGCCUUGAGCUUAAUCGAUAUCAUGAGGCAAAGGUGUUCAUACAUGUAUACACUAGAUAUUCAGCCGAUAUGAUCUUUAUGUAUGCCCGGUGGGUCAAUACAUUCUGCUAGGGGCCACCGUUGACACGUGGACCGAAAAGGAGUUUUCGGGUUACAGCUGAGUGUACAUGAACCUACAGGAUUGCACGCUUAUUGGGCCGGAAUAAGGGGAUUAGAUGGAGAUCCAAUAUGAGCUUAAUUCGAAUAGGGAUCCGAGUUGGAGUCCUACGGACCUUCACGGAUCCUAUAUAUUUGUGAGGGGUAUGACCGGCGGAGGUAUUGCAUCACGUGAGAAAGCCUAGCCGCCACUCCCCUCCACGAGCAAAAAACCCUAGCCGCACGCGGGUGCUAGCACAUCUGCGCGUGGCGUUCCGUCCCUGUACGUGUGGAUACUGGUAGAGACGCCGCUGCUUUGCGGUGCUGAUCAGCGUGGGAGCACGGCGAGGAGAACGCACGAGGAGGAGAAGGUCGAGCCGGUGUGAUCGACUACUUCCUCUACAUCGACGCGCGCUACAUCGCGAGGGUUCCUUCGCCUUCUUAGCGCUUUCUUCCACUGCGCAGCGCGUCGAGUGGUAACGAUCUAUGAUCUAAUACUUGCAUGGUUCCUGAUUUACGCAGUAAUUUAUACUAUCGUAGCCUACGCGUGUCUCAACAGGUUUCACAUUUUUUUUUCAAGAAGUGUUCCUGCCAAACAAAAUAAAAAGGUUAUAUUAGGACGACAUGAUUGCAUACAAAUAUGGGGAGCAAAAUACUAGGUUCAGAAAACUGUCAGAGUUAAUUCUGAACUGUUAAAUAUGUUGAAAACUACGUUAACCCCAAAGAUGCAAUAUGGCGUGAUGCAUCAUUCAUGCUGAGAUGCAACAAACAUGUAUUGACGUUGUGUUGCUAUUGGAAAAUUACUAUUCUUGGCCUAGUUCUUUUUCCAAACUUCAAACUUCAACUUCCUCGUUUUUCAUUAGCACGUUUUUCAAACUAUUAUUAAAUGGUGUGUUUUUAAUAAAAAAGUUUCUAAGUAGAAGUUGUUUAAAAAAUUCCAAUGAAUCUAUUUUCUAAUUUUAUACUUCAAUAAUUAAUACUUAAUUAAUCAUGUACUAAUGAGCUUUCUCGCUAAAAAUCUCUCUCAACUCACCUAUCGAACGGGGCCAGUAGAACAAAUAAAGAGCAUCAGAUAAAGUAGCCCAUAGUCUCGCGCACCUUGCGCUUAGAUCGAAGGAGUCUGUAGUUUGGCGUCUUCAGGCGCCGGAGUGUGUUCAUAAUCUUUUAGCCCUCGAUUGUAACCCUAUGAUUGAUGAGUAAUAAAGCUUCAUGUUUCCCUCGCAAAAAAAAAAAAGAACAUCAGACAAUGUGUAGCAAGGAAAAUUGUGUAGUUGUUAUGACUCAAACUAAAAAUAGGUGCUAUGCAUGCACAGUUAUAGUCAAAUUUGUGGGCACAAAUUUUAAUUGCUACAUCAAGGAAAUUUGCAUUCGCAACUAUAGCAAAUUUGCAAGCACAGCUAGAAAUCUAUACCUAUAGUAUAAUUGGGAACUUCAUAGGAGCUCCCACGUUAACCAGUAAAAUCAGAUCGUUAAUUUGAUACAUCAUAUAAUCCUAACCAUUGAUUAUAAACUCUAAUCUACAUUAGCAUGAUGGGCCUGAUGUAAAGCCCAUCCAAUCAACCGCUUUAAUUAUAGUGAUGGGCGUGCGUUCCACUCCAGUCUUGCACCUAAUCUUCGUUUUCUUCCACAACCUUAUGUCAAUCAAGAGAUCAAUCAAUCCACUGCUCCUACUCUUCCUCUCAGAGUUCAAUCCAUGGUGUUUUUUUUUCCCUGGUCAUCAAUGAUUUGCAAAUAGUGAUAAUCAUUUACUCAAUUUUGAUGCAUCUUCACGUAGCCAAAUCAAAUAGCCGAUGAAUCAAAUUUAAAACAGAUCUAUGUAGGCCAUGCCCUAGCUAAUCUAGAGCAGGAAGUUUCAUGUAAAUCUCACACCUCCUUGCAAUACAUAGACAAUUGAUCUUCUGAUUUUAUCUGACAAUAGAUUAAAUAUUUCUUCUUUCCAGGUGAUUGCUAGAUAUUAUAAUUGAAUAUACCAUACCAGACAUGUUCUCUUACAGUUUUUGCCAGUACUUGUUUUCUUUAAUAAAGAACAUUUGUUGCAUGCCUUAAUACAAUUAUAAAUAAUAUUCAUUGGUUCAACAUGGUCCAGGAUAAUGUUCUGCUUAUAAUAUUGGUACCUUGGAAAAUUUGAUCUUCAAAACAAAAUGUAUACAAUAAUUUACUUCCCAAGCUACGGUAAAUAGCUUAAAUUCAUCAGUCAAUAUUAAAUUCCAUAUUUUACUUUUUUUUAAGGUGAUUGCUAUAUGUUUCUGCAGGGCACCAUAAUACAUUUGUUGACGGUUGUUAGCGAUCAGUUUCAAUCGUCAAUAUUACCAAAAUAGAGAAGAACUAGUUAUACUUGCAAUGCAUAUCCAUGUUAGUAUAAUAAUAUUCCACUAGUAUUAGAUUCACUAGCCUUUUAUAGAGAAUAACCAUUAAGUGGAGGAGAAUCGAUAUCAAAUCAGAUGAUAUAUCAAUCGGACGAUGUCGAGAAUCAAACUUAUGUAUGAAUGGGCCAAGAACUCAGAAAUGACACAACCAAUUGGGCCAAAAUUCACAAGUCUGCAGAGAAGAGAAGUCUAAGAGGCCACCAGCCAACUUGUGGGCUAGUUAGGCCAGCCCAGGGUUCGGCCGAACCAAUGCCAGCACCGAUGGAUGCAUGGUUUUGAGGGAACAGUGGAGAUUCACUCCCUAUGGCGGUUAGAGGGUAUUACCGACUAUUCCAACCGCCAUAACCGUCAUUAUAUCUACCUAUUUAAAGAGCUCCUCUUUCAUUUCACUCAUACACCUCAAGCAAAGCUCUCUCAUAUUCUCUCGAGUUUAGUUUAGUGUUCUUAAGCUAGUGGAAUAGGAAUAGAGUAGAAAUCGGAGUCCAGAAGCCUUCGGAAGAGUUCGGAUAUGGCUCUAGUAGCUCUUCUCUUCUCUUUUGUAAGCUUUGUACUAUUAUUAGAAUACUCUUCUUUAUACAUUUAUGGUAUUAAAAUACUUUCCGAGUAUAUGAAUGCCAACUUUAUAUUAUGUUUAUGUUGUACUGAUUAUACUGCUAGCUUAUCUGGGAGAUGCCUUGGUGCGGGUAUAAUGUUUUUAUAUGCAAUUACUCCAUGUCAUGACGAUGAUAUUAGAGUAGUAUCUGGUAGUUUUGGCGUGGUGUCUAGAUUACGGGAUAUCAUUAUUUGGGGUUAUAUGCUGCGGAUGAGAGGUGGGCCGCUGAUGGUGACAGCUCAGUACAGGUAUUCCUCUACACGUAUAUAUAGUCCUAAGUUAAUUUUCUGGGGAGGGUACUCCUCCGUAUUUAGCUUCGGUUGUAUGGUCAUGACGGACUGUCGUAAGGAACUUGGCAAUCAGGGGUGGCUUCUCGAAGCACUAGGAGGGUAUCGGAUAGAGGGUAUUAGCUAGUAUAUCAGAUAACUAGGAUAUAUGUAUACUAUGUAUACUAGAAGUAUAGGAAUAGAUUCUCGUUCUCUUUUCUUUCCACUUUGCUUAGAUAUUUUAGUAUGAGAAUGAGUAGCUCCAUGCUGUUGUGUCACUCUGCUUAGACUAUGAUUAUAUUAACCCCUGCUUAGACUAUGAUUAUUACAAGUAACAUAUAAAUUAUUAGUCAGGUUCUCUCUACCAUGAUCUUUCCACGGGAUUAAAUAAAUACGAUACCCUUGGAAUACUCUCGGGUAAAAUGCUACAAUGGUAUAUCCGUGCGCUUGCGGAUGAACUCUAUAACCAUAAUAUACUAGGAGGAUUUCUGCACCAUUGCUGGGAAUUAUAUUUCUGGCAAUGUCGUUAAGAAAUAUCAACAAGCAUUUCUGGCGCCGUUGCCGGGGACGAUUCAUAAUAGAGAUUACCAGAACUAAUACUGUAACAGCCCUAGGUCAAUUACCAGGUAAUUAGAAAUGCAAUUAUCAUCACUUAGGUUGCAUCUUUACUUUAUUGCAAGUAAUUACAUGUGAUAGCAAUUUAAACUUUAACCGGCAAAACCAAAGCAACUUCUAAAUGAAAAAUAACUUGAACAGAAGUAUAUGUGUUUAAUAUUUUAUUCAAAUAUUAGUUUAUUUAUCAUCACUAAAUAUAAAUUUUGUGGAAUUUUUACUCUCUGUUUAGGCCUCCUAAAAAUUCAAACCAACUUUCAGCCUAACCAAUUUCAUCUUUUCACCAGAUUUAAAACACUUGGAAUUUAUGUGUGAAACUUUGAAAAAUGGAACCUAGAAACCUACACCUAUCACCACACCAAAUUUCUACAUUUUUGAACUUGUUUUACCUAGUCAAAUUGAAUUUACCAAGAGAGGGAAAGAAAAUAAAUAUUGGAAAUUGCAAGAACGAAUUUAUACUCAGUUUUUCACCCACCUCUCUCACCCUCAUAGACAGCCACGACUUGGGCCCACUUGUCACUGACCUUGGGUGCCUCUUUAGCCCCACAACACACCCAUGGGCGUGCUCCCACCUCAGGACUUAAGGGGGUAGAGAAAACCCCAUCUUCUUCCUCGCCUUUCAUCUUCACUGCUUGUUCUUUCUUUUCUUCAUCAAGCUGAGCUCUCAUCUCACUUCUCCUCCCCAAAUCCCAUCCAAUAGCCUAAGAUCAAUCCCUGCAUGUAAGACCACAACAAUCCCUAUCAUAAAAACUUUGCAUCCAUCCCAACAUCUUGCACAUGCAUGGAGAGUUGAGAGAGAUCGAGAAGGAACAAAAGAGUGGUGGUUUCAGCCUGCAGGGCUGCAGCAGCAGCAUUUUGUUUUCCUCCAUUUGGUAAGCUUCCAUUUCAUCCAUGGUGCCUCUUUUGGAUUCCCUCCAUGUUGAACAUCUAUAGCAAUGUUCUAUAGGUUGUCCACUCCAUUGCUGCAGCUAGAAGGUGGCUGCAACUCACCCCGAGUUCAUAUCUUUUGAUUUCGGUUGAAGCAGCCCUAGGCAACGUCUCUUGCCGUCAGCCCAAGACCUUGCUCCAUCUCUUGCCAUCAGCCCGAGGCCUUAGCCUCGCAUGACCCUACGUCCAGGUUGCUACCAUGUGAGCGAAGUCCGAUGGAAGUUGGAGAAAAGGGGAGUGAAAAUAGAAAUCGAUUUCAAAGAUAUCUAUUGAGCUAAAAGAGGUAUGCGCUUUAAAAAUUCAUAACUAAUUCAUAUGAACUCCGAAUUCAGUGAACCAAAUUUCUGUGGAUUAAGAAAAACGUGAUCUUCAAUGUUGUAAAAUAAAAAUGACCAACUUUUGUACUGGUUUUCCCAGUAAAAAUAUAAAUAGCUAAUAUGUAUCCCUUGUGUGGUCUAGCUCUUAAUAAAUUCGCAAGAAAUUAUUGGUAAAAGCUAAAAUUGUGAAACCAAUUUUGUUGAGCUUAUAUUUUAGUACUCUUUGCUGUUGUGGUGUUGUUUUUGGCAAAAAUACCUCUUAAAUCUUGUUUAGCAGUUAUUUAGCAUUCCCAUGAUUUUAACUUGUAAAACCCAUAUAUAAAUGAGAUAAUCCAUGAAAUGCCAUUGACAAGCGUCCCAGAAAUGCCGUUAACGGCGCGGAAUGGACGGAACCCUAACGGCGAUGGCAUUUUUGGGACAAAAUCGUUUGUACGAUGGCAUUUAUUGGAACUCACACUUGUCGAUGGCAUUUCUGGGACUUAGACGCUUGUCAAUGGCAUUUCAUGGAUUAUCUCUAUAUAAAUAAUGACAACAGAUACAGCUGUGAAAUAUUUUUUCUUAGAACCUGUGAGUGAUGUAAUUUACUCUAAAAAUAAUCAUUAUUAUGAAAUCUUGGUUUGAAAUGCAUGUUACUUGUAAUGUACUAAAGGAAAUGUUAAUAUUUACAGAACUGCCAUUUUCAACACCUGAGAGCUUGUCAUUUUCAUAUCUCCCAAACCAUAAGUGAUAAUCUAGUGAUUCUUUCAACUAAAUUCAAGUUAAAAUAUGAUCUACCCACUAUAUUUAUUUCAUAAUUUAUUGAUCAUUUUGCAUGUGCAUGUUUAUUUGGCUCUUAUUCGCAUAUUACUUCUUUUCGAUAGAUUCGGAGAUUCCGGAGAGUAACGAGCCAUAUCCUGAGGAGGAUAGUGACUACCCUCAGCAGCAAGGCAAGCACCUAAGCAUAUAGAACCUGUGCUUUCUCUAAAAAUGAUUUGGUUGCAAUCUAUACGUAUAUAUAUAUGCAUGUAUUGCCUAGAUAUUAAUAUUGUCGAUUUAUGGUGUAUGGGUAGAACCUAUUUAUGCAUUUAGUUCUUGUGAUAUUGCUGUCCUUAUACCCCAUUACCAUUGGUUGGGAUUGCUUGGGAUGUCUUAUUCAUUAAUGCUUAGCCAUGCUUAGUGCUAAUAGAACUAUAGUGAUAGACAGUGCUAUUAAUUGUGGUAUAUAGACAACUUGCAUUAUUGGGCAUAAAACUUGAGCACUUACACUACUAAAUAAUGGUUGAUGAAAUAUGUUGGACUUGGACGGGUGAUAGGGCAAUGAUGGGAGGUUGGUUUCCCCUGAUGCAAGUAGCCCCGUCUAGGUUGUUAAGGACUGAACAUUUUGACAUCUAAUCAAGCACCCUACGUACUUAUCACAUGCCUUAUUUUGGGACCGGCUUGUUCUUACUAGUUCUAUUGUGAUCAUUUAUACCACGUUGGAGAGUUGUGAGGCAGGUAGCCUUUGGAGGGCCUCGGGUGCCUAGGUUUGGCCGGGGGUGCCUCCCGCGUGGCGCGCCCGCCUUGGUCACAUCACGCACGCACGUGACUGAGUCGUCGGGAAGGCUAGCGUGGUAUAGGUGGUUGGGGUGGGGCUAAGAAAGGGCAUGUAAUGAGCUUGAAUCACUUGUGUACCGCAGUUGACGGGGUGUGUAGCAUUUGAUCUUUGUUCAUUUCGUGUGGGACCAGUUGUACACCUCUGAUCAGAGUAUAAUCUAUUCGAAUAGUCGCGUCCUCGGUGAUGGACAAUGCUUGAUGUGUUAGUCAGUUAUGUUAGCAUCAAAUGUGGAUUAUUAUGGAUGGGAUUAUGUUCGAUGGUGGUGUUGGCAUGUUGUGCCAUGUUGGUAUAGACUUUGGUAGUCCAUGGUUGAUGAUGAGAGCGCCGUUUGGGCUCAUUUGCUUAUACAUUUCAGAAUUAUAUACUUGCUGUCCAUAAAUUAAAAUGAUGCUAGAUUUACUUAUCCUUGCUUAUUUUACUCAUUAAUUGCUCAAUAAAAUUAGCUUUAUGCAAAUGUUGAACCUAGAGACCCACUAUAGCCUAGAAAGCUUGCAUACUUCUCUCUCCCUUAUGUAUAUAUAAUUUUGGGUAAGACUUGCGAGUACAAUCUUGUACUUAACCCGGUGUCUGCAAUUUCAAGAGAGGAUUCCGGUUAUGAGUUAUGCUUCUUGUGUGGUAAUUGCUUAGACGAGGGCGGCGAGGGCAAUGAGUGAUCUCUUGCAGCUUGGCUCUUGCCCGGUUGGUUUGCAUUAGUGGGGUUGUGGCACCACCGGUUUUAUCUUUUGCUUAUGAACUCUAUUUGAGACUUCCGCUGCUAUAUUUAUGUGUUGUAUGUUGGGACCUCGGACCCUAUUAUGUGCCAUGUACCUCGCUGCACUUUAACCCUAUUAUGGUACUUGCUAUGUUUUUAAUUGCUUCCGAUGAAAGUGUGAGGCUAAUCACAUUCCUGGGGACUAGCUAAGCAUGAGUAACGAGUUUUGAUCGCUUGAGAUAAUUGGGGAUAGCGCUUUGGAUUGAGUCACUGGGGUAUACUUUUGGUCGCCACCUUCGAGUGGUUGACGGGCAUAUGACGGAGUGGACUGGCAAGCUAUCUUACGGUUAUGUCUUGCGCUCACUACUUGACAUUCCGGUUAUUAUAACAGAAGGUUGUCAACCGCGAUCAUGGACACAUUGAGGACGAAUGGCUAUUUAUGCGUAUAUGGAUCCCACUUCUCCAAUAGUAUGUGGUGGUCGCGUUGGACACUGGAUGGUAUAAUAUUCGGGGUGUCCCCAAAUACUUUAUAUUUACCUCUGUAUAAUCACUGCCCUUUGCAGGCUAACCUUGGUUGUUUUCACUUUUGUUGUGAAAACGGGGUAGUGCAUGACUGGUUUCAACCUACCGGAAAACUUUAAGGAAAAUCCAGAAGCUUUCUUCCGGAGCGUCAAGCCGCAAGUCAUCGCUCCGUAGAAAACUCUACCGAUAAAGAAACCAGCCAUACCAGCUUCACCGACCUUCAAGACCAUGGCUGAUAAGACCCUCCGUGAAUUCGCUGCUCCCUUUGCUGACAAUGUUCCAUUGGGCCGCAUAUCAACAUGGGAGAUGUGGAUUUCGAUCUAAAGUCCAGCCUCAUCACGAUGACACAUGCUAGCCCGUUCUGCGGCAAGCCUAAUGAGGAUGCCAAUGCUCAUUUGCAGCAGUUCCUGGAGAUUUGUAGUACGUACACCAUGAAGGGUGUCAGUCCUCCUUAAAGGCUCUUGUCUUUGCGCAAGCUAAAACCACUAAUGCCUUAAGCAAAAAGCUAGCUGUCAAUGACAAGGUCUUAGAGAACAUUAAUGUCAAGCUAGAUGGCUUCGCUUCUGCUUUCCAAAACUAGCUGAGCUUUACUAAGAUGAUAGAAACCCAGCUAGCUCAAUUGGCUUCAUAGGUACCUGCAAGUGAAUCUGGGAGAAUUCCGGGGCAGUCUGACUCCUCCAUUGAAAAUGUCAAGGCGAUCACAAUGAGGGGAGGUAAGUCCACUCGUGAUCCACCGUAUCCCAUGUUGAUGGUCGUUAUCGAUCAGUUUCGACCGUCAAUAUUACUAAAAUAGAGGAGAACUAGUGAUGCUUGCAAUGCAUAUAUCUGUUAGAAUAAUAAUAUUCCACUAGUAUUAGGUAUACUAACCUUUUGCAGAGAAUGACAAUAAAGUGGAGGAGAAUCGACAUCAACUCAGACGAUAAAUCAAUCGGACGGUAUCGAGAACCAGACUUACGUAUGAAUGGGCUAAGAACUCAGAAAUAACACGACACACUGGGCCAAAAUUCACAAGUCUACGGAGGAGGACAACAAAGGAGGCCGCAAGCAAAGAUGGGUUGGGUUGGGCCAGCCCAUGGUUUGGCCGAACCAUAGGGUUCGACGGAACCUCCCAUGGCGCUGAUGGAUGCAGGUUUUGGAUGGACGGCUGGGAUUGAUCCCCAAUGACAGUUGGAGGGUAUUAUCGACCAUUCCAACCGUUACAACCGUCAUUACCUGCCUAUAAAAGGAGCUCAUCUUCUCACUUCAAACACACACCUCAAGCAAUAGCUCUCUCAUAUUCUCUCAAGUUUAGUUUAGUAGUAUCUAGCUGGUGGAAUAGGAAUAUAGUAGAAAUCAGGAGUCCGGAAGUCUUCGGAAGAGUUCGGGUAUGACUCUAGUAGCUUUUCUCUUCUCUUUUGUACGCUUUGUACUUUUAUUAGAAUACUCUUCUAUAUACAUUUAUGGUAUUGAAAUACUUUCUGAGUAUAUGAAUGCCUACUUUACAUUAUGUUAAUGUUAUACUGAAUAUACGGCUUUUGUGCGGGUAUAAUAUUUACAUAUGCAAUUACUCUAUGUCAUGACGAUGAUAUUAGAGUACUAUCUGGUAGUUUAGAUGUGGUGUCUAGAUUGCGGGAUAUCAUUAUUUGGGGUUAUAUGCUGCGGAUGAGAGGUGGGCCGCUUAUAGUGACAGCUCAGUACGGGUAUUCCUCCGCGCCUGUAUAUAAUCCUAAGUUAAUUCCCUGGGGAGGGUAUUCCUCCGUAUUUAGCCCCGGUUGUAUGGUCAUGACGGGCUGUCGUAAGGAACUCGGCAGUCAGGGGUGGCUUCUCAAAGUACCAGGAGGGCAUCGGAUAGAGGGUAUUAGCUAGUAUAUCGGUUAACUAGAAUGUAUGUAUACUAUGUAUAUUAGAAGUAUAGGAAUAGAUUUUCUUUCUCUUUUCUUUCCACUUAGCUUAGAUAAUAUAUUAUGAGAAUGAGUAGCUAAUGCUUGUGUGUCACUCUACCCUUGGAAUACUCUCGGGUGAAAAGCUACAAUGUUAUAUCCGUGCGCUUGCGGACGUGCGCUUGCGGAUGAACUCUAUAACCAUAAUAUACCAGAAGUAUUUCUGCGUCAUUGCUGGGAAUUAUAUUUCUAGUAAUGUCGUUAAGAAAUACCAACAUCCUAACCCUAUAGGAACUAAUGGUAUCGCCAAGGAAGCACCAUCUAGUAAUUCGGCUGAUGAAGAGGUUCAACCAGAGAAGGCUGUGCUGCAGGAGUACUGCGACACACGGUUGCUGCCGUUUCCUCAAUGGAUUAGGAAACCAUCGGUGGACGAGCAGUUCACUCGUUUUGUUGAAGUAAUCCAGAAGAUUCACAUCAACAUGCCGUUGUUGGAUGCUAUGCAAGUGCCAACAUGUGCCCGUUAUCUCAAGGAUAUCCUCAACAACAAGAGACCGCUCCCAACAAAGGAGGUGGUCAAGCUGACGGAGCAAUGCAGCAAUGCCAUACUCCACAAGCUCCCAGAGAAGAAGAAAUAUUCGAGGUGUCCAACGAUCACCUGUUCGAUCGGGGCACAAUAGUUCGACCAAGCCUUGUGUGAUCUUGGAGCAAGUAUCAACGUCAUGCCCAAACACGUCUUUGACAAAUUCAACUUCACGGUAUUGGCACCAACACCGAUGCGCCUACUAGUAUUAAAUAAAUACGAUACCCUUAGAAUACUCUCGGGUGAAAUGCUACAAUGGUAUAUCCGUGCGCUUGCGAAUGAACUCUGUAACCAUAAUAUACCAGAAGUAUUUCUGCGCCAUUGCUGGGAAUUAUAUUUCUAGUAAUGUCGUUAAGAAAUACCAACAACAUUGUAUUCCCUCUGUUUCAUAAUGUAAGACUUUCCAGCACUGUCUACACUCAUAUAUAUGUUAAUGAAUCUAGACACAACAUCUAAAUAAAUAUGGACAAUGCUAGAAAGUCUUAUAUUAUGAAACGGAGGAAGUAUUUUAUAUAUGAUUCUAUAUAGUAUUUUGACCAUUAAUGACUGAGGAAUCAGACUACAUGAUAACAAUUUUCAAGGUUUCAUCACAAUGUCUACCUCUACAGGAAAUCAAAUAAUUCCAGAAAACACUGAGAAAUAGAACAGAGUUUUAUAUAUUUGCUCCGGCGCAUAUAUCUCAACCUUUCUUCAUUUUGCUCAUCUAGUUAUAUUUGGGAGUCGUACGGUGUGAGAAAUACGCGGGAGUAGAUCGUUGGGAAUCACAACAUCACAAGAUAAAUUUCGCUAGCGUCGGCGUGUAUCGAGGCACAUACAACAAGGUGUAGCAAGCGACAGAUCGAUUAAUUGCAGUCUGCAGACCAGUCGAAGCACACGUACCACAUCGGCAGCCAGCAGAUAUUCUUCAAAUAUUUAGUAGCUUACAUAUGUAAUCUACACAUGUUAGUUCUUGAGAAUAUCUCAUAUAGAUCAGGACUGCCAGCAGGAGGAAGCGACAUGGCGCAUAUACACAACGCUAGACAAGAUCUGCUCAGAAUACUCAGCACAAUUAUGUAUAAAUGUCGUAUUCAUAUACAUGUGUUUCGAACACUUUUGCAUCAAUAUUUCUCUUUAUAUCUACCGAAUUCAUGCCAUUUGUUUUUUUUAUGAAUUGUCAUGUUUUGGUCAAGGUAGUUUGAUUUUGUCGUCAAAAUUUAUAUUUUAAAAUUAUACAGUUCCAAUAUCUUAUUAUAUUUAUAAUAACUUAAAAUACUUAUAACAUUAUCUAUCUAUAGAAUAUUCAACUAUCCACAAAGAAGAACAUAGUAAGUUUAUUUUCAUUUGGAUAUUGCUAAAACAUUAGAAAUGCCAAACAGAUACAAUUCUAUACUUUAUGAGCUGCUAAAGAGGAUGCAUGAUAUAAUGAUGUUAAAAGAUAUCUCACAUCCACAAUAUAACGAUUGCAUUGAGUCUGAAUAGGACCACAAUUCCUGUUUACAAAAUUAAAUACUGAGGUUAUUAGCAAUAUAGGAUUUCUGGAAAAUAAUAUUAAAAAUAAAAGAAAAUACAGAAUAGUUUGGACAAAAGAAUAUAUUGUGUUUGUUCGAUUAGUCCAAAUGACUCUUUUUUAAAAAAAUAAAGUUACCCUGUGCAACGCACGGGUUAACGUCUAGUAAGACAAAAUACAACAUGGAGAUGCGUGCAAUUUUUCUGAUUGAUGCUAUGCAAGCACAUGUUCAGAAAAUCCAGAAAAUAGAUUGUGCACAUUAAGGCCCUGUUUAGUUCCCAAACCAAAAAAAUUUCACCCUUCACAUCGAAUGUUUAGACAUAUGCAUGUAGUAUUAAAUAUAAAAAUAAAACUAAUUACAUAGAUUGAAUGUAAAUUGCGAGUCGAAUCUUUUAAGCCUAAUUGCGCCAUGAUGCGAUAACAUGGUGUUACAGUAAACAUUUGCUAAUGAAGGAUUAAUUAGGCUUAAUAAAUUCAUCUCGCAGUUUUCAGGCGGAAUCUGUAAUUCGUUUUGUUAUUAGUCUACGCAAAUAUGUGUACGUAUAUCCGAUGUGACAUGCCAAAAAUUUUCAUUCGCGAACUAAACUAGCCCUAAAUCUACUUUUCUGAACUAGUUACUAUUUUCCUUUCAACAUACGGUUAAAUUUGUAUAAAAAAGCAAGGAGAACAUACAAGUUCUAAGAUUUUCAGAUUUCUGAAUUCGAAACAUGCACAGAACUGAACAUGGUCGGUGCUAACUAAUAAAACAUCAUCUUUAACUAAAUUUGCCAACUAAAAUUUCAGAACAUAAAUAACCACUAUUUGAGUGGAAAAUGCGCGUAUUGACCUAGUUACUAGUUACUAUUAACUGUUGAAUUUUAUGUUGGCAACAUGAAAUUUUGGAGAAUAAAAGCUGACCUGAAAAAAGAGAAUGAACAAAUGCUGUCCCAUUCUUUCUGAACACAGCCAUUUUGAACCCCUUAUCCACACGCAAGGAUUCCCUUUGGCACUAGUCGAAUCUGAACACGCCUUUCACGAGAAAAUAUCAAUGGUUGACAAAAACAAAUAUGAUAUUGAUAGCACUGUCAGUCUAUCACAAGCAUGCAUUAGCUACUCAGCACAAAAAUAUUAAAAAUUUAACAGUUGAUGUAUUAAAAAUUCAAUACAAAUCUACUGAAUCUCAUCCUAUCCCAAACUCAAGAUGCAUUACUUGGCCAAGAACCUAUCCUUUGCAGUACAUAGCUCACCUUCCCUACUUCAAGAAACACACAAUUUUACAAAAACAAUCACUCUGACUUCCCUUGUCUGAUAUAGCUAUUAGAAAAUUAUUAGUCCUAGUAGAGGACAAAACUAAGGAGAACAUGACAGGGGAGACUGCAGGAGAGGGAGAACAAAAGGAAGGUAAUGUACUAAGUAUUCUUUAUUGCUAACAAAAGUAAAAAUACUAUCUAUUCAUAGUGAAGUUCUAAAAUUACUAGUUUCCUCUAAAAUGUUCAGAACAUAAUCAUGCAAUGCUAACAUUUUCAGGAAAAGAUGCAGUGUUUGGAGGCUAGCAAAAUGGCAUGAUCAAGAAGGAGUUGGUGAUACUCAAAGUAUUUGAAAAACUAAAAGCUUACAUCAAUCAGUAUCUAGUCUUCUACUGCAUUAGGUAGCUAAAAUUCACAGAUAUCAGGCUUAGUUAACUUUAAUCUUCUACUGCACAAAUGUUUUGUUAUUCUCAAACGGUUUUCUUUUGGAAGCAUUGGUCAAAGAAGAUAUCACUGAGUGAUCUUAAGUGGUGGAGUAGAUAGCAUCAGCCGUUUCCCCCCUAACCGUACAAUCUGCGCAUCCCCAUCCUGUCUGCUACUCAUGUAAUGCGCGAAAAAACUCCCAUGCGCAUUUUUAAGUUUUUAUUUUUUUAAUAUUUACAGAAAUAUUAUACCAUCCCUGCCAACCAAAUGGAGGGCGGCAAGGUGUGCGCAUUUUGCACUGAGGUCCCUUGCCGCCCUCUGCAAGGAGGCAAAUGCAAUUUUCGCCCUGCCAAAAAUACAUUUUUCUAGUUUUUUUUUCAUCUUGUCUGUCUCUCAUGUCACCCUGCCACUCUCGGGGAGGGCGGCAGGGUCUACUUCUGUAAAUAUUUUCACCGGUACAAUAUUUCUAUAAAUAUUAAAAAUAAAAAAUUUAAAAUGAAAAAAAUUCUCACAUGCGCGCGAUUUGUUGCUUCAUCAUGUGGGUUUUGUUGGGCCAGAGCCAGCAGCCCGUCUUGGGUGGAGAAAAAAAAGCCCACAACGUUUUGUCCUCUGUAAAUAAAAGCCCACAGUCCUAGAAAAGUUGUGACUUUUUUUCGGUUUUAGAUUUUUUUUUAAUAUUUACAGAAAUAAUCUAUCGACCAAAAAAAUUGCAGAAAUAGCCCCUGCCGCCCACCUCUGGGGCGGCAAGCUGACGUGGCAAACGGGGGAGGAACGGGCGGUGACGGAGGGAGGGUUUUUUGCAGGAAAACCCUUGCCGCUCUCUGGUGGGGCGGCAAGGGGCCCGAAUGCAAAAAAGCCAGUCGGGGCCGGCUAUUUUGCAGGCAGCCCCUUGCCGCCCUCUAGCCGGGUGGCAGGCCUCGCUGCCUAUAAAAGGCCUGCUGCCCAGCCCCCAGCCCUCAUUCUUCUCUCCUCAAUUCCAGUGAAAAAAAAGAAGAGAGGGGAGGAGAAGAGAAGAAGGGGCGAAGCCCUGCCGGAUUCAGACGCCGAUUUCAGGUAAUAUUCAUAGAUCCUAUAUGUGACUAUUGAGUUAAAUAGUGUGUAUUCUUUAAAAAUUUGUUUGAAUAAAUGCAUUAUAUUUUUAGGGUUUUAGUUUUACUAAUCUAGAAGUGCGUAUUGUAGAUAUCGGUAACUACGUAGAUCUGCUAGUUUGGAAUUAAUACAUUACCGUUGCAUUGGCUUACACAAGAAGAUAUUACGUUGUAGAUGUUUAUUGCAUGAAAGAGUAAUAUGAUCUAGUUAUUUCGUUGACAGAUAUGUCGAACAAACAAAUAUUCCAAGUUUACCAUGGACCAGGAAACGUCCGUUACGGGCCAACUGGGGUAGAUCUGUCAGAUUUUAUUGUAUCAGAAAGGGGAAUUGAUAGACCGGCUGAGAGGAGUGUACCUUCUAUAAAAGGAUUGUUAAUGAGGGGCUUGAGAGUUGAUCCACAGACAAGUGACAUAACAAUCAAUGUUAUAGUAAGUCGGGCAACUGAGGGUUUUUAUUGGGAACUAAUGCCAGUUCAAAACUCUCGAGUGUGGAGAUGGUAUUUGGAAAAUGCAUUGCAACGCGGGUGGCCUCUAGCUUUGGUUCCGUUUGUUCACCCGAAGGAUCCAGGUGUGCAGACGAACAUGGAUGAUGGUGAGGGACCAAGUGCUGAAGUAAACGAGACUUCUGUGGAGGAGGUCAACGCACGAGAGGACGGGGGCGUAGUAGCUCUAGUGGGCAUUCAACCAGGUGGAGUGGCCGACGAGGGGGAGACUGUCGGUGCCAUUGUGGAUAAAAUGGAGAGGGAGGAUUCUGACAACGAGCGUGUAGAGGAAGGUGAUUCGUCAGAUGAUGAGACGGAUAUUAAUCCAGAAGAAUGGGCUAGUGAGGAUUUUUCUGGGCUGAUCGUCUCUGAAGAGGAUAGUGUGAGAUGGGAGUACAAAGAAAAUGAGGUUAUUCAGGGAGCGAUUUAUAGUAAAGCAGAAGAUAUGAAGGAGGCGGUAAAACAUUUUGCAGUGUCACUUCAUAGAGAGUUUUGGGUUGCCAAGUCGAACCGGUCGCAAUAUGAAGUUCGGUGUGUUAAGGAAAAAGAUGGUUGUCCCUGAAGAGUGCACGCGUAUAAGGGGAAAUGGAAGGAUUAUUGGAUAGUGUCAGUUGUUACCAAGCAUACAUGUUUUCUACCUGGUGUUCAGAAAUACCACAGGAACAUUACAUGUGCAUUUGUUGCAUCUGAGAUGUAUGCGCAUGUCAUUGAUAAUCUCACAUAUGAACCAAGGUCAAUAAUCCGACACAUUGAAGAGACAUACAAGUAUACUAUUAGCUAUGCCAAGGCCUGGAGGGCCAAACAGAAAAUAAUAGAGAUGAUAUUUGGAACUUACGAAGCCUCGUAUGACAAUUUGCCACGCCUGCUUGGUGUUAUCGAGGAAAGAAACCCUGGGAGCUCUUACAAAGUGAAGAAAUUACCCUCAAUUGAACAUCCUGGCAAGAGUGUGCUGCAAAGGGCGUUCUUAGCUCUACAUGCAUGCAAGAUGGCAUUCGUGAACUGUCGUCCUGUUCUCUGCAUUGAUGGGACAUUCUUGACAGGAAAGUAUCGGGGCCAGAUACUAACAGCAAUAGGGGUAGAUGGGAACAAUCAGGUAUUGCCCUUGGCAUUUGCUUUUGUUGAGAGUGAGAAUACCGACAGCUGGUACUGGUUCCUAAAAUUGGUUAAAACAAAAGUUGUUGGUAUGAGGCCAAAUGUAUGCCUGAUACAUGAUAGGCACGCUGGCAUUCUGCGAGCGAUAGGAGAGUUGCAGUUUGGGAGUAUGGAACGAGGAUACCCCGGUGUUUGGGAAGAUGUACAGAGUAGGUGGUGCAUGCAUCAUAUGGGAGCUAAUUUCUUCAAGCAAUUCAAGAACAAGGAGCUCAUGAACAUGUUCAAGAGGCUGUGCAAUCAGAACCAGGAGAAAAAAUUCAAUGAGCUUUAGAAGAGAUUAGAUGAGUUGACAGCCAAAUGCAGCGAUCAGCGUGCAGCGGCUCCAUCGACCGCCGUUGCUGACCCUCCUCAAGCUCUUGGACCUCUCCCAACGGAUAGUCCAACAUUGGUUAGAAGAACUGGAUUGGAGAUUCGGAAAUUUUCUCAGUGGAUUCUGCAUGAAUCAAAAGAGAAAUGGGCCAAGGUGUAUGACACAGGUGGUGCUAGAUAUGGAAUAAUGACAACAAAUUUGGCAGAAGUUUACAACUGGGUGAUGCGCGGUGUCCGUGGACUGCCACUAGUUGGCAUAGUGGAGUUCAUUUUACAUGGGACAUGCAGGUAUUUUAGGGAUCAGUUCCAGGCAGUUCUUCCCUCUAUGCCGAACAACAGCAUUUUGUUUGGAGCUUUCGUGCAGAAAAAGCUAGAGGAGUUGCGUAAAAAGGCCAUGAAACAUCGAGCUCUAGUGCAAGGUACCCAACAGCUCAUGUUUGAGAUACUAUGUCAAGAUAAGGCAGGCAGGGGUAUCUACCGCAAGAGUGAAGCAGGAGUGUGUUCUCAAAGCCGACGGCACAUGUCAUUGCUCUUGUGCAAAGCCGAAGCUGCUCCACAGGCCAUGCACCCAUGUCAUUGCUGCCGCAGCGGAGUGUGGCAUACCAGAUGCAGUAUAUGUGUCACAGUACUUCAGUAAGUAAGCAAUAUAUCAUACAUGGAGCGGUGAGAUUUAUAGUUUCGGCAUAGCUGGGGAGUUCACAGAGACUAACGAUGAAGUACUCAAUAUUCCUGACCCAUCGAAGCUCCGAGGUAAGGCUGGAAGGAGGAGGACUCGUCGCAUCCGCAACGAUAUGGACGAGUCGGAGGCUGGCAGGGUGAAGCGUUGCAGCAAAUGCGAUGAACAUGGGCACACCUACAAGCAUUGUCCUAAAGACAAGGAGAAACCAAGUGCGGCGGAGGCAGGACUAUCAGGAUCAGCAGCAGAUGGAGCUCGCCCUACGGGUGAAGGCACUACCUCCACUCGACCACGUCCUAGGCGUCGUCGUGCCACGCCUGGCUACGUGGUGUAGUUCUUAUGUUCUAUGUCGGCAUGUGGAUUUGCUUGUAAUUCGUUUCGAACUUAUCGAUGUGUUUAUGUUUCGCCGUGUAAUGCCAGACUUCGGCAUGUCAUGUCUUUAGGUCUCGUGAUGUAACGUCGGACUAAGGCGCCUAACGUCUUUAGGUAUGCUGAUGUAUGUCGGACUUCGACACGUAAUGUUAUGUUAUAUUAUUGAACUCUACAUAUAUGUUAAAUUGCACGUCAUCGUUAUGUACCACUAGUAACGUUUGCUAUAUUUAAAUAGCCUGUACUCUUGUUGUACAUAAUUAAUCUCAUGAUUUUAUUACUAUUUCAUAAUUUUGCAAGUUAUCUUUUGUUUUACAGUACUAUUUUUUGAAUUGUUCUAACACGAAACACUAUAUUUUUCAGAGAUGGCACGUCAGGAUACACCUCAGUUGUUGGACCCGGCGAUAGAUCACCGACACCGGUCUCACCUUACUGCGGUGCAGGGGGCUCAGCUUGGGACGAUCCGGGCACGGACGUGCGGUGAGCUACUCACAGUUCACGACUCCUUUGUCGAGAGGUACGAACAGUGUUUUACUAUAAGUUAGUUGCACUGUAAUAUUUUUUAUAAUGACAUUAAUUUGUUAUUGCAGGCUACGUGAGGCCGGCCUCCUACCGAUGUGUCGGCUGGUGGAGGCUGCGGCCGGCGACGCGGACCCGGCCAGACGAUGGACUGUGGACAGGUCCCUCCUAGCAGCUUUGGUCGAUUGAUGGAGGCCAGAGACGCACACUUUUCACUUGCCGUGCGGUGAGGUAGCCCCUACCCUACAGGACAUAUCGUACUUGUUGGGGCUACCGCUAGCAGGAGACGCUGUUGGGCCAGUGACCACGGCUGUGGACUGGCAGGACGAUCUGACGGCACGUUUCGCACUAGUACAGCGCGCACCGCACCUCCCGCUCGAGCCGUUGGCACACCACCGCAACACCGGACCUACGAAGAGGUGGCUGCUUCAGUUCACUGUGAGUGUUUUUGUACCGAAAUGACAAUCGUAUUACAUAUUUAGUCCGCAGUUAAGGUGCCUAACAUUUUAUCGACGGCUUGCUGGUUGAGCAGCUACAGGCGGAGGCCGACGAGUACUCCUACAGCCGAUGUUUGGAGGCGUACUUGCUCUGGCUUUUUGGCUGGGUGAUGUUCUGUGGCGGUCACGGGCACUCGGUCGACAAGGGACUCGUGCACUACGCCAGGAGCAUCGCCGACGCCGCGGUAGGCGUGGUGCCUCAGUGGAGCUGGGGUUCCGCGUUGUUGGCGGCUCUGUACCGUGCACUUUGUGAGUCUUGCACGAAGACGGAUCCCAGCGCGACCUUUGGUGGGUGCCCUCUCUUUCUUUCUAUCUGGGCAGCUGAGAGGAUUGCGAUCGGCCGCCCUGAGGUGGACCAGCACGCGUACGAGGAGUCACUGUACGAGGAGCGACCAGAGGUCGACUACCCUACGAUGGGUACUCUGUGGUGCUGUCGUCAGGUACGUUGCAUCGAUCUUAUCGUAUUGUUAAGUUAAUUGUUAAGUUAAUUGUACAUCACAUCGAUCGUCUCGUAUUGCAGCGCCGAUGGGCCCACGUCCAGGUUAGGCGGUCGUAUCCUGAGUUUGUUAUGGAGUUCGACCGCCUUCUGCCGACUGACGUCGUGUGGGAGCCCUACAGUGCCACGGCUACCCAGGCUCGUGUGCCGUUGGGUCUGUCCACACUCUGCACCAGGGACCAGGCGUACUGGAUGACUACAGUUCCGAUGGUCUUCGACAUCUGCGUUGAGCCUCACGCCCCUUUCCGCGUGAUGCGGCAGUUCGGCUUCCGUCAGCCCUUUCCAGUACCGUUUCCGACCACCGUCCCAGCUGCUGUUCACCGGUAAGAUCUUGCACUACGCUUUCCGUUGUUGCAUUAAAAUCUGCCUGUUCACAAUAAUUUGUAACAUCUGUCGUUUCACACUAAUAUUACACAUUAAUUCGCAGGUACUCGCGCAAGGGUCAGCAGUCAGCUGGCGACUGGCCCGCCAAGUUGGCGACUUUUGUUGAGGACUGGUUGCUCGCAACCGAGGAGGUCGUGGACCACGAGGGAGAGCCACACACUGAGGAGUCGUACCAGGCCUACCUACGCUGGUACCAGCCACGCACCCGUACUAGGGUCACCUUCGCUCCCUUGGAGCAGCAGCCCCACGUUGCGAGCACUAGAGACCUCUAUGCCAGGCACCGCGACCAGGACUUCGCUCGUGCUGUGAGUACCCUGCAUCGCACCAUUCCUUUAUGUUUUCAUGUCUUUCUCUUCGUCAAAUUUUACGAAUAUUUACGAACAAAUUAACCAUGCAGGUCGACGACAUCAACCGGGUCGUCGUUGACGGUUCAACGACGACCAACGUUUAGGCGCGGGGAUUCCGGUACCCAUAGAGGAGCACCUGACGAUGUACAUGCGGAUGGUGGAGUCGAUGCGCUCGAUUCUCCGAGUGCUCACCUGUCAUGCAGACGACGUUGCUCGGGCAGACGCAGCUGUACAGCGGCCACCCGUACCGACUGGUCCCCGUCCAGCUGCGCACGUUCCUAGGCCGACUCCCCCUCCGCACGGAGGUAAGUAUUUUUAUUACUAUUUCUGUACAUGCCUCGCACAUAUAAGUGAGCCGUUUCACUUGCCGAUUGCUUCAGGGUUUCGUGCACCGUUCAGCACCCCACCUUCCUCGGCUAGGCCUUCUGUUGUGCCCCCCACAGGUACUUAAAAAAACAACAUUACUUCGACAAUCAAUUUACAUACAUUUUAUGUCUUAGCUUACAAGGGUCCCGUUGUCGAUGUGUAGGUUUCGCCCAGUUCGCUAUGACGCAGGCCGCCCACUUCUCCCAGGCUGCAGGGUCAGUGUCUCAGGCAGCUGUGUCGACCUCGCACUCAGCGCAGUUCUGGCAGUACACUGGGACUUCGUCACAGGCAGCCGGCACGUCGAGUCAGGGUCCACCACUGGACCAUGCUGGGACCUCGUCGGACUGCUUGUUGCCUUCCACCUUCCUCUUCGACAUCACUGACUUCGACUUCGCUUCAGGCUCGACAGAGGACGUCAUCGGCCCCUCACAGCUGGGAGGCGCACCGCCGGUGCAGACGCAGGACCAGGCGUAGGCCACUCCUUCGCGGGACACUCGUGUUACCCGUGCUGUGCCACCGGAUCAUUUCACCUACUCCCAGGACCACGUGCGAGCACAGGCCCGGAGGAUCAAGCAUGGUUGCGGCGCGUGGCAGGGCCAGUAGAGCAGUCUUCUCUUUGUUUACUUGCUUCACUUUCCAGUACUGUAUGCUUGUGUAAUGACUACGUUGUUGUUAUAUGUGCACGAUACCUUUCGGCGCAUGCACGAUACCUUUCGGCGCAUGCACGACUACUUUCUGCCGCACCGAUGCAGCCUCCUUUAUUCGCGUGUGAUACGAGUAUUUGCCCGCCAUUUGGCGCAUACGACCAAUGUAACUUUCGGCGCCGAUCAUGCAUGUAUCUUUCGGCGCCAAUCAGGCGUACCCACCAUACCCCACCACGUUCACAUGUCAGGGGUAUCACUCGAUUUUUUGCGCCUAUAUAAGUCGCCUUAACGAGUGAGGCCUCACAAUCUUUCAGAACUCAGUCACAUUCAGUACUCUCUUCCCCACUUGCUUCAUUACAAAUCCGACCGACUUUCGUCAAUGGCUAGACGCCGAGGUGUUGAGGAUCCAAACUGGUGUAGCGAUCCUUGUGUAUACCUACUACCACCUUGGUGCCAGCGUCCUCUCUGCCUAUGCGGUGAUCGAUGCCAACUAAUGGCUUCGAGGAAUCCUGAUAUUCGAGGAAGGCGCUUUUUUAGGUGCCCUAACUAUGACCGUGAGGUAUUUUAUUAUCUGCAUAUGCUUAUUCAUUCCGUAUGGGCAAUCGCUUUAUUCUUCGUAACACUACUCUAUUCGACAGACCCGCACUACGGCUUGCGCAUACAUCGAGUGGGUCGAUACAGAAAAUCCCGUUCUCGACUUAACCACUUGUUUACAAGAAGGUCGCUGGUAUUUCGCAUCCGAAAGUACUGAGCAAUACUUACAGAGAAAAGCGGCUUAUGAACGACAAUGUCGUGAACAACAGAGCGACUGGCGGGUGCUAACUACGGCACUCCCUCCAUGGGAAGCCCGUCCAAGAUGCAGGUGUGGUGAUCAUUGUCAGGUUCUUCGUUCCAUAAAUCCUACAACAUUGGGUCGAAGGUUCUUUGUUUGUCCAAAUAUUCUUGACGACGAUUUUAUGGUAAGAAUAUUUUGAUUACAUGAAUCCUUAUUUUCUCACAACAUUUACUAACUUUGCUUGCUUUACAUCUAUUCUUUCCUCCUAGGAACCACCAAGGAGAUGUCAAUAUAGAGAAUGGAUAGACACCAGAAGGGUUCUAACUCCACCUAGCCGUGUUAUGCAGCUUGAACUACCAGAGCAAUACAGGGUUACUAAAGCGCGGUUUGAGAGAGGAGAGGGAUCCUCACGUAGGGGUUAGCUAUUAUCGGACAACUUGGCAUAUUGAAAUUUCUACUGUCAUGCUUCCUUGUCCCAUUACUACAUCGUCGUUGUGUUCAACUAUUGCACUACCUCUCUCCUAGUUCGAAUCUAAUAUCAUCUAUGUAACCGCAAUGCAAAUAGUUGUAUCAUGUUCAAAUUGUACUACUAUUUCUUCAUGUUACAUAAUUCUCCUUGUUUAAGUCCAUAUAAUGUUUCUACGACCCAGACUGCGAUAGGCCUAUAUAAAUUAUCCGAGUACUAAUACGUCGAAUAAGGUACAAAAUAAUACCUCACUUAACAUAUGAAAUUGCGCAACAACCAACUUCAAUACAUUUUUAUAACAAUAUUAACAAGUUUUACCAAUAAAUACUUCUUUAUUUAUUAUUAACAUAACAUAGAAAAAUCUUUUGGCCGUACUUUUUUCAUCUGGGUCCCUUGCCGCUCUCUAUUGGGGCAGCAAGGGACCCGGAUGAAAAAGUACGGCCGCAAGCUCUUUAUGGGCGGCCAAAAUUGCAAUUAGCCCCUUGCCGCCCUCUGUACGGGCGGCAAGGGCCUAAUCGCAAUUUUGGCCGAUGGCGGCAGAUGGCGCGGUCGAUCCACCGUCUGCCACGUCAGCUUACCGCCCACCAUUAGGGCGGCAGGGGCUAUUUCUGUAAUUUUUUUGGUCGAUAGAUUAUUUCUGUAAAUAUUAAAAAAAAAAUCUAAAAACGAAAAAAAUUCGAAAAGUUGUUAUCUGUGCAAACAAAAGCCACAACCCAGAAACGUUUUGUCAUCUCCAUUUGGUUUCUUCAACCAGAAAUUUGUGGUCUUUCUUUGAUUGUCAGAUCAGAAAAAAAGAGAUCAAAUCCAGGCUGGAAGAAAAGAAGAGAUCGACCAAAAGAGAGGAGCCAAAAUAGAUGGAGAAAGAAGAAAAAACUCAUAAAAAUCAUCGAAUAUAUUCAGAGAGAAAAAAUGGCUUCAUCUCUGAUCUAGAUGCCCUGCAAGCCUGCCUGUUGCAUGGCUGCUGCAAUGCACUGCUAUGCAUGAUUACCAAAGCCACCAAAUAGAAAUCUAAAAACAAUGGUGGUGUUUGAAUCGGCUGAAGAUGAAGAUUACUCCCUCCGUCCUAUAAUAUUACAACCUAGGACUGGAUGGGAUGUUUCAUAGUACAAUGAAUCUGGACAUGCAUCUAUCCAGAUUCGUUGUAUUAUGAAACGUUCCAUCCAGUCCUAGGUUUUAAUAUUAUGGGACGGAGGGAGUAAGUGUUUCACGCAAAACGAGGUGGUAAUAAUAUGUGAUUAAUUGAGUUUUAAUUAUUACAAACUUGCAAAAUGGAGUAAUAUGAUAUUUUAGAACAACUUUCAUAUAUAAAGUUUUCGCACGAAACACACCGUUUAGCCCUGCUUGCAGUGGAAUCGAAUGCAGCCAAUGUGUAACUUCUGCAUAGGGAUGCAGUACUGAAAAAUAUGGCAAGCAAUAUGACAAGCAAAUAUCAGCAUUAAGAACGAUUUCUAGUGGUUAGGCUAUGACAUAAAUAAGUGAUAAACUGAUUAAUAUGUACCAAAAUUAUAAAAAUAGAAAUCAGGCUUAUUUAGGAAAUGUCGACAAAAGCGAUACAAAAUGUUACUCCUAUCUACUUUGAGAUGACCAAAUAUUUUAUAAAAUUCUAUCUACAUGACCAAGUAGAUAGACUAGGAACACUCACUUUUAUUUUCUGAAGUAAACUUCGAAGUAAUCUCCCACUGCCCCGCACGCUGCAAGCGCUUCGCCCAAUCGCACGCCUCUAUGUCCAAGGCUUAUUUGCCUAAUCGUGGGUCCUCAGGUAGGCUUCUGAGCAUUAUAUCCUUGCUUAUCUCUUCUUCCGCUCCACCUCCGCCGCCGCAGGGCUUGCCAUCAGUUGUUGCUGCGCUGCUUUAUCGGCACGAAUUCUUGUAUUUGCUAUGUUUUCUGGUCAAACACCUAAAAAUUGGGCAACUUAGAAAUUAGUAACAAAAUAUGUUAGCUUUAGUAAAAUAUGGAACACAAUAGAAAGAUGUAGCUAAAAUUUAAUAACUGAAAAAGACAAAACAAAUAAUAUGAUUUUAUAGUUGCUAUCAUUUAGAUAGAACACCAGCUUGAUUAAUAUGUGGGAAGAUUUUAAAAUCCGACAAAGACAAAUAAGACAAACACCAACAAAAUACAAAACCGGUAGAUGAUAGGGCUAUGACCUAGAUAAUAUGAUUUCAUAGUUGUUAUUAAGAUAGCGCAUUAGGUUGAUUAAUAUGUAGGAAAAUUAUAAAAGUUGCAAAGACAAAGACAAAAUACAAACACAAUACGACAAAAGUUUAAAUUGUGAGAUGCUGACAAAACAAAAAA